CUCGCGUUGGUUCCGGCCAUUCCUGCCCGCCCCCGUUUCUCUUUCUCCCUUGGCUGCUCGCCCGGAAGCGAUUCCCAAAUAAAAAAACCAGAAGAAAAGCGAACCUUCCCUUCCGCCUCCCGAGCAAAUCCCCGUUCGCUCGAGCGAGAUCAAAUCGAUUCGACGAGCAAUCCUCUCGCAUCCGCGUCGCCCUCCCCGUUCGCCGCCAAGUACGCACUGGCCUCUCUGAUUGGUGAUUGUACUUCUGCGAUUAGGGUUCCCACUCCGCAUGUCCGCGGAUCAGCGGGGGGCGGUGGAUGAGUUUUGCGCGUAACCGUCUCCCCCUAUCGCCGCUUUAGGGUUGUUAUCUGGUUCGGAUUCAUUUCUGCCCCCGAAUCGCGAGGGCGGCGUCGGCGUGGAAGAUUGGUAGGUCCCCGUUUUGGGCGGACAGAUACUGGUUGCGGUGAUCGUCUGUUGAAUGGUGCCGAGAAGCUAGCCACUGGAGAUUGGGUGGGUUUGAUGUGGCUCGGUUAUCUACCAGAGUGGUAGCUCUAAUGGAGCAACUCGCAAUGCUUGCGACGGAGUUGGGUGACUCGUCAGACUUUGAGAUCGAUGGCAUCCACAACCUCACUGAGAACGAUGUCAGCGAUGAGGAGAUCGAGCCUGAAGAGCUGGCACGGCGAAUCUGGAAGGACAGGGUCAGGCUCAGGAGGAUCAAGGAGCGGCAGCAGAGGCUUGCGCUGCAGCAGGCUGAGCUGGAGAAGUCGAGGCCGAAGCAGAUAUCUGAUCAGGCCCUGCGCAAGAAGAUGUCGAGGGCGCAGGAUGGGAUUCUUAAGUACAUGCUCAAGCUGAUGGAGGUGUGCAAUGCACGUGGGUUUGUGUACGGGAUCAUCCCUAAUAAAGGGAAGCCUGUCAGUGGCGCGUCUGAUAAUAUCAGAGCUUGGUGGAAGGAGAAGGUGAAGUUUGAUAAGAAUGGUCCGGCAGCAAUUGCCAAAUAUGAGUCUGAGAACUUGGUGGCUGCUGAUGCCCAGAGCGGUGGAAUUAAGAACCAGCACAGCUUGAUGGAUCUCCAAGAUGCCACCCUGGGUUCUCUGCUUUCAUCAUUGAUGCAGCACUGCAGCCCGCCACAGCGCAAGUACCCAUUGGAGAAGGGCACUCCACCCCCAUGGUGGCCUUCAGGGAAUGAGGAAUGGUGGAUUCCCUUGGGCCUUCCCAGUGGUCAAAUCCCUCCUUAUAAAAAACCACAUGAUCUUAAGAAGGUUUGGAAGGUUGGUGUACUUACCAGCGUGAUCAAGCACAUGUCCCCCAGCUUUGAUAAGAUCAGAAAUCAUGUACGGAAAUCGAAAUGCUUGCAGGAUAAAAUGACUGCAAAAGAGAGCCUGAUUUGGCUAGGAGUUCUGCAGAGAGAAGAAAGGCUUGUUCACAGAACUGAUAAUGGUGUAUCGGAGAUUACUCACCACAGUGUGCCAGAAGACAGAAAUGGUGACACACACAGCAGCAGUAAUGAGUAUGAUGUUGAUGGUUUUGAGGAUGCUCCUCUUUCUGCAUCAUCUAAAGAUGAUGAACAAGAUCUGUCUCCUGUUGCACAGCCCGCUGAGGAGCAUGCCCCAAAAAGAGGAAGGGAAAGGGCUUACAAUAAACGCCCUAAUCAAAUUGUUCCUAACAAGGUAGGAACAAAAGAACCACCAAAGAGAAAAAGAGCACGUCACAGCUCCACUGUUAUUGAGCCUGAGGCACAAAUAGUUGAUGACGCCCCAGAAAACUCAAGAAAUUUGAUUCCUGAUAUGAACCGACCGGAUCAAGUAGAAAUCCCAGGCAUGGCUAACCAGAUUGCCAGCUUGAACCAUGGGGGCAAUACAAGCGAAGCUUUUCAGCACAGAGGAGAUGCUCAAGUACAGGUACAUCUUCCUGGUGCUGAGGUUAAUAACUUCGACAGUGCCCAAGCUGCAAAUGCUACUCCUGUAAGCAUAUACAUGGGAGGACAGCCUUUACCUUACCAAAAUAGUGACAGUGCCUGGUCAAGAUCCGGAAAUACUUUUCCGGUUGAUGCUGAUUCUGGUUUGAAUAAUUUGCCCAGCGGUUAUCAGACUUUACCUCCGAAACAGUCACUACCACUAUCUAUGAUGGAUCAUCAUGUGGUUCCCAUGGGUAUCAGGGCACCUGCUGAUAAUAGUCCCUAUGGUGAUCAUAUAAUAGGUGGUGGAAAUUCAACUUCUGUUCCUGGAGACAUGCAGCAGCUAAUAGAUUAUCCUUUCUAUGGUGAACAAGAUAAGUUUGUUGGCAGUUCCUUUGAGGGAUUGCCUUUAGACUAUAUCAGUAUCAGUAGUCCGAUCCCAGAUAUUGAUGAUUUGUUGCUGCACGAUGAUGAUUUAAUGGAAUACUUGGGGACAUAACAUAGGAAAGACAAAGGGAAAAUCAUUCUUUGUCCAAGUUGGAGCAGUCAUUUCUACGAGAUAUUUCCUGUACUUGUGUAAGGCGAACAAUAUAUCUUUCUCACAAUUUCUGAAGUGGUAAAAUUAAAUGUUACAUUCAGCAGCUUCUCAAGUCUCAGCUCAUGCAUCUCACCAUGGAACUUCGGGUUUGUUUCCCUAUGUGUUUUACUGUUGUAGUUAUUUGUGAUGUGGAAUCAGUCUGGUUUUGUUUUUUAGCUUUGUUCCUUUAGCUAUGUUCUUUUGUAUGAAAGAUACAAGAUUUAUCUCUCUUGGCCUAGGAGUUGUUGGGCUGCGGUUUUUGUGCACAAAAUGGCAGGAGCCAACAUUUGUGGGGUCCUCUAAUCAUAAUCCUCAUGCAGCAAUUCUGUCACAUGCAUGGCAUGCCUGUUGCGCGCUGGAGCAUAAAGCGAUCAGAGUUUCAGAAUUCAGAAAGACUGGACCAGGGAAGAGCUCUGGCGAGCAGAAUAUAGAGCUGUGAAACGGGGUGUCAGAAAACGGGAUGACCCAAGGAUGUAGGAAAAACAAGAGUAGAACCUUUUGCUUUUCACGUCCAGUGACAAAAGAGCAUCUCUGCUCCUAUCGAGUAACAAAUCUUUGUAGCAGAGAUGAGUAGAUGACCAUGCUAUUAGGCCCUUCUCUGAUCCGUCUGUAUGUUUGGGUAUCUGACUAUCGUUAGACAAACUGGAAACUUUCCAAAUACACUUUUCUGGACUAUGAAACACCGCGAACAAAACGCAGUUGACGUACGGCUUCUCUAAUCUGGAUCACAUGUUGUAAGUUUAAGAGGCUGCUUGUGACCACACAGAUUGUUCCAAGUCUCUCCAAGUGACAUGAGUAGCAAACUAUUCAACGACUGAAAAGACCAAUUCUCUACACCAAGCGAAGAAUAAUUAUAGUUGCAGAGGAGCUCAGGAGUUGGCAUAUCGAGAUCGCCAAUGUCAAGAUGUCAUACAUACACACACCACCCAUUAAUUUCUUCAGAAUUCCUUCUCUCGCCCAUCAGCUCUGAUCACUCCAUGCCAGGACAAUAGUUUCUUUAAGCACAGCUCCAUUCGCUUUUGUGCCAAGCUCAUGUAGCAUUUCGUGACAGUAGAAUUUCUCUGGGUUUUUUUUCCCCAAUGGAGGAUUCAGAUGUUCAAGGGAAAAAGGGUACAAGGCUCGGCUUGGAACGCGAGAAUUCUAUCCGAUUCUUUAGAGAAUUGAACUGAUUCCUACGAACUAUGUGAAAACUGGAUCUUUGCAGAGUCUUAUCCGCUAAGACUUGUUUCAUUUACUUCGAAUUGUUUGAAAAUCCCGCGCUCCAAUCGGACCCUGAGAAGGGAAUUUCUGGGGAAUUUGGAGCGAGAAUUCUUGGUUUAUAACUUGUAAGUACGCAUAAAUGUAUUCGUAGGUACAAUUCAAUGACUUGUAACGACAUAUAAAUUGCUACUUAUAGCAUUCCAUGUACUCUAAUGAA